rnacentral:rRNA from 1 species
UAGGGAAUCUUCCGCAAUGGACGCAAGUCUGACGGAGCAACGCCGCGUGAGUGAAGAAGGAUUUCGGUUCGUAAAACUCUGUUGUUAGAGAAGAACAGCGCAUAGAGUAACUGUUAUGCGUGUGACGGUAUCUAACCAGAAAGCCACGGCUAACUACGUGCCAGCAGCCGCGGUAAUACGUAGGUGGCAAGCGUUGUCCGGAUUUAUUGGGCGUAAAGUGAGCGCAGGCGGUCAAUUAAGUCUGAUGUGAAAGCCCCCGGCUCAACCGGGGAGGGUCAUUGGAAACUGGUUGACUUGAGUGCAGAAGAGGAGAGUGGAAUUCCAUGUGUAGCGGUGAAAUGCGUAGAUAUAUGGAGGAACACCAGUGGCGAAGGAGACUCUCUGGUCUGUAACUGACGCUGAGGCUCGAAAGCGUGGGUAGCAAACAGG